AACCAUAGAAACCUGCGGAGUACCUGCGGAGGGAUCAUUACAGAGUUGCAAAACUCCCUAAACCAUUGUGAACGUUACCUAAACCGUUGCUUCGGCGGGCGGCCCGGGUCCUUCCCGGCGCCCAUCGGCCCUCGCGGGCGCCCGCCGGAGGUAAACCAAACUAUUGCAUUGUAUGGCCUCUCUGAGUCCUCUGUACUGAAUAAGUCAAAACUUUCAACAAUGGAUCUCAGAUCGGAAGAG
rnacentral:misc_RNA from 1 species